AAAGAUAUUAAUAAAAUGUUUAGUGGAUUUUGGUUAGAACAGUGGUUUAUUUUGAUGUAUCUUAACGAUUGAAUGUGUUACUAUUGAGUGAAGCGUCAUUAGUAAUUAUAACAUGUCUUAUUACGCAUGGUCAUUUUCACUGUCGUAAUCGAAAGUAUUAAGAAUAAACCACAAUAGCGAAUCUGUUCGUCAGACACAUGUGGAAUGAUUCAAACAAAGUUGGAAGUGCUUGAAAAAGUUUACAAUUCUGUAAAGUUUGUGCUGAUGUGGGGCGAGGACAUUUAGGACACCUGCAGACAUCAAAGGACAAAUACAAAAUAACUCUACAAGCCCUAACCCUUUCUUUCUUUUUAAUAUUCUGUUUUAUAAAUUUUUAAUAAAUGGAAACGAUGAAUUAUUUGUUUCCAGAGGAACGUAGGUUUAUGAUCAAGGUGAAUGACCAAUCAUAACAAGUACAGGUACAUUGGGUAUAUUCCUUUAUAAAUAAUUAUGAUAAUCAAUGAACCGUUCAUGUUGCACCUUUACACAUUGUACAUCUACUGACGAUGAAAUGAACUUUAUGUAAUGUAAAGGUCGUUGAGCUGUAUAUAUUCUACUUUGAAUAGAGAUCCGAAACUUUUGCAAUAUAUUAUACAUUGCAGUGUAACGACAUUACGAAAUGUACCCAAAUAAUAGAUGCUAUUUCCAAGAUUCCUCGAAUCACAGUUUCUCAUCCCUUCUUAAUAUCUAUGAUACUCGGCCGCCUGCUGUUCAGCCGAUACGAAAAUAAGAUUCAAGUUAUUUCAGAAGUAUCUGUAACAUCUUCGACCCUGUUUAGAAGAAUUUCAUUAUCGUAGAUAGUAAAAGAAACUACAAAGAAAACGGAACAACGCCGACUAUGGGGCGUUUAGGUAGAAAGUAAAAAGAAAUUAUUGUCGUUUAUAGUGGUACCAUAUUUCAAAUCUAAUGCCAUGCUAUUGAUUCGAUUAUGGAGUCCAAAAACAGAUCAACAAGAUCACGAAAGGAGAAGUAACUAGAGGUAACUAGAAAAAAUAUAUAUGUAUACAUAUAUUCAUAGAUACAUAUGUAUAUAUUUGUCGCAAACAUUAUGUAUGACCAGUACUAUUUACGUACGAGGUUAAUACACUCUGACCUAGUUUCCAUGUGAAAAGCACCUGUCUCGAUAGUCCUAAUUCAAUGGUGCACGUGAGUUCGUGCAAAGUCUAGAUCAGUAUGUAACGAGAGCGAUUAUUUUGACGAAAUAGUGCUACCAGCUACGAUAAAUACCGAUUAAUCGUGCGCGAUUAGAAUGUACAAACGCUUCAAAUUUUCACGCAAACCUCUUAAACAGAAGGUUUGGAAUACUUUGUACGCAUACUACUUUGAUAAUUUACGCAUCCUAGCCUACUGAUGAUACAACCGGAAGCAGAAUGAUUCCAUCUGCAGAAAUAAAUAAUAUUUUCUUUUGUAUUUAACUUUGUUUUUGAGAAAAAAGUAAAUUUGAAAAUUUUGAUAUCUGUUUGUUAAUUCAACGAUUUUUUAUUGAAGCUGGAUUAUUUCAGUAGAAUAGAUCGAAAUUUAAAGCGACUACCUUCAGAUAUGUCCGUCAACGGUCGGACAACUGUCCUGCCACACCGUUACUACUUAUCAUCUUAAUAACGCGUUAUUAAAGGCAACAAAUUAAAAGGUCAGUAUUUAAAUUCAUUUUCGGUCAGUAUAUAAAUCAACUUUCGGUCAGUAUUUUAUUACCAAAAUGGUCAGUAUAGAAAUACUAAACGGUUAGAUUAGGUUAGGUUAGGUUAGUACAUAAAUAGGGAAUGGUUAAUAUGGAAGGAUAUUGACCAAAGGAUUUAAAUACUGACCCUUCACAUUUAAAUACUGAGAAAAGGGAUUAAAAUACUGACCAAUAAAAUACAAGCAGUUAUUAAAUGCCGCAGUGAAAACAGACACGUUUAGUCAGACACGCUAUAAUAGGUAUAUUAAAUUCGUGGUGCCGGUUAUCGAUGACCCCUUCAGUAUUCUGUAAUCUGUUACAGUCAAUCAGCAUACAAUUUUAUACAUAGUUAUAAGAAAGUAUUACGAUCUAAUUACGUGAUGAAAAUAAAAUCCAAUGUUAGGAAAGAGGUCAUAUUUUGUUUACGAUAACAGAAAGAAAAAUUUGUCAUGCUUUAGAUGAAGUUAAGUCACGAAAUAUACGGUCACAUCGUACACAGCCUUGAAUUGUAUUUCUAGAAAUAAUAUCGUGGAUCAAUUACAUGUAUUCUUCUAGAAAAUGACAGAGGUAACACCAAUUACAAUAAAAAAACUUUAAUGUU